rnacentral:rRNA from 1 species
CAGUAGCCGCGGUAAUACAGAGGAUGCAAGCGUUAUCCGGAAUGAUUGGGCGUAAAGCGUCCGUAGGUGGCUUUUCAAGUCCGCCGUCAAAUCCCAGGGCUCAACCCUGGACAGGCGGUGGAAACUACCAAGCUGGAGUACGGUAGGGGCAGAGGGAAUUUCCAGUGGAGCGGUGAAAUGCGUUGAGAUCGAAAAGAACACCAACAGCGAAAGCACUCUGCUGGGACGACACUGACACUAAGAGACGAAAGCUAGGGGAGCAAACAGGAUUAGAUACCCCUGUAGUCCCUGUCUCUUAUAC